rnacentral:rRNA from 1 species
AGUCGAACGGCAGCAUAGAGAGCUUGCUCUCUGAUGGCGAGUGGCGAACGGGUGAGUAAUAUAUCGGAACGUGCCCAGUAAUGGGGAAUAACUAACUGAAAGGUUAGCUAAUACCGCAUACGACCUACGGGUGAAAGCAGGGGAUCUUAGGACCUUGCGUUAUUGGAGCGGCCGAUAUCUGAUUAGCUUGUUGGUGGGGUAAAAGCCUACCAAGGCAACGAUCAGUAGCUGGUCUGAGAGGACGAUCAGCCACACUGGAACUGAGACACGGUCCAGACUCCUACGGGAGGCAGCAGUGGGGAAUUUUGGACAAUGGGGGAAACCCUGAUCCAGCCAUCCCGCGUGAGUGAAGAAGGCCUUCGGGUUGUAAAGCUCUUUCGAAAGUGAAGAAAACUUAUUUCGUAAUAUGUUAUAAGUAUGACGGUAACUUUAGAAGAAGCACCGGCUAACUACGUGCCAGCAGCCGCGGUAAUACGUAGGGUGCGAGCGUUAAUCGGAAUUACUGGGCGUAAAGCGUGCGCAGGCGGUUUUGUAAGUCAGAUGUGAAAUCCCCGAGCUUAACUUGGGAACUGCGUUUGAAACUACAAGACUAGAGUGUGUCAGAGGGGGGUAGAAUUCCACGUGUAGCAGUGAAAUGCGUAGAGAUGUGGAGGAAUACCAAUGGCGAAGGCAGCCCCCUGGGAUAACACUGACGCUCAUGCACGAAAGCGUGGGGAGCGAACAGGAUUAGAUACCCUG